GACGUCUGGCGAAUCGUUCAGCCUGCUGUAGCUCAUUGCCAACGACGGCUACAAGAUGGCCAGUUCUACUAUGCGACCAAGGCUUUCGGUGUCCUGGAAAGAUUGGACCCCAAUCCUGAAUACUGGGAAGGCAAGCGAGGGGCAUGCGUGGGCGUAUUCCAGCAGAUCAUAGCUGGUCAUGAACCAAGAGAAACACUGCGAGACAUCCUCCAAAUCUUGCGCAACACCGGUAACCCACAGGUGGAA
rnacentral:lncRNA from 1 species